UGAUAUACCAGACCCGAAGGUGGAUUUGCU
rnacentral:piRNA from 1 species